UACGUAGGGUGCGAGCGUUAAUCGGAAUUACUGGGCGUAAAGCGUGCGCAGGCGGUUUUGUAAGCCAGAUGUGAAAUCCCCGGGCUUAACCUGGGAAUGGCAUUUGGGACUGCAAGGCUUGAGUGCGGCAGUAGGAGACUGGAAUUCCUGGUGUAGCAGUGAAAUGCGUAGAUAUCAGGAGGAACACCGAUGGCGAAGGCAGGUCUCUGGGCUGACACUGACGCUCAUGCACGAAAGCGUGGGGAGCAAACAGG
rnacentral:rRNA from 1 species